AUUGAACGCUGGCGGCAGGCCUAACACAUGCAAGUCGCACGAGUGGCGGACGGGUGCGUAAUGUCUGGGAAACUGCCCGAGGGAGGGGGGUAACUACUGGAAACGGUAGAUAAUACCGCAUAACAUCGGAUGUGACCAGAUGGGAUUAGCUAGGAGGUGGGGUAACGGCUCACCUAGGCGACGAUCCCUAGAUGGUCUGAGAGGAUGACUGGCCCCACUGUAACUGAGACACGGUCCAGACUCCGACGGGAGGCAGCAGUGGGUAAUAUUGCCCAAUGGGCGCAAGCCUGAUGCAGCCAUGCCGCGGGUAUGAAGAAGGCCUUCGGGUUGUAAAGUACUUUCAGCGAGGAGGCGUUACUCGCAGAAGAAGCACCGGCUAACUCCGUGCCAGCAGCCGCGGUAAUUC
rnacentral:rRNA from 1 species